rnacentral:rRNA from 1 species
GAUGAACGCUGGCGGCGUGCCUAACACAUGCAAGUCGAGCGGAGUCAAUUGCUGAUUCUUCGGAUGAUUUGAUUGACUUAGCGGCGGAUGGGUGAGUAACACGUGGGUAAUCUGCCCUGCACUGGGGGAUAACAGUUGGAAACGACUGUUAAUACCGCAUAUGCACACGGGGCCGCAUGGUUCCGGGUGGGAAAGAUUUAUCGGUGCAGGAUGAGCCCGCGUCGGAUUAACUAGUUGGCAGGGUAACGGCCUACCAAGGCGACGAUCGCUAGGGGUUCUGAGAGGAAGGUCCCCCACAUUGGAACUGAGACACGGUCCAGACUCC